GGGAAGAAAAGGACAGGGUUAAUUCCCCUGUCUGAUGACGGUACCUGAAGAAUAAGCACCGGCUAACUACGUGCCAGCAGCCGCGGUAAUACGUAGGGUGCGAGCGUUAAUCGGAAUUACUGGGCGUAAAGCGAGCGCAGACGGUUACUUAAGCAGGAUGUGAAAUCCCCGGGCUCAACCUGGGAACUGCGUUCUGAACUGGGUGACUAGAGUGUGUCAGAGGGAGGUAGAAUUCCACGUGUAGCAGUGAAAUGCGUAGAGAUGUGGAGGAAUACCGAUGGCGAAGGCAGCCUCCUGGGAUAACACUGACGUUCAUGCUCGAAAGCGUGGGUAGCAAACAGGAUUAGAUACCCUGGUAGUCCACGCCCUAAACGAAUGAAAAUAAGCUGUUAGGCAACUAGAAUGCUAAGUAGCGUAGCUAACGCGUGAAAAAUGACCGCCUGGGGAGUACGGUCGCAAGAUUAAAACUCAAAGGAAUUGACGGGGACCCGCACAAGCGGUGGAUGAUGUGGAUUAAUUCGAUGCAACGCGAAGAACCUUACCUGGUCUUGACAUGUACGGAAUCCUCCAGAGACGGAGGAGUGCCUUCGGGAGCCGUAACACAGGUGCUGCAUGGCUGUCGUCAGCUCGUGUCGUGAGAUGUUGGGUUAAGUCCCGCAACGAGCGCAACCCUUGUCAUUAGUUGCCAUCAUUAAGUUGGGCACUCUAAUGAGACUGCCGGUGACAAGCCGGAGGAAGGUGGGGAUGACGUCAAGUCCUCAUGGCCCUUAUGACCAGGGCUUCACACGUCAUACAAUGGUCGGUACAGAGGGUAGCCAAGCCGCGAGGUGGAGCCAAUCUCACAAAACCGAUCGUAGUCCGGAUUGCACUCUGCAACUCGAGUGCAUGAAGUCGGAAUCGCUAGUAAUCGCAGGUCAGCAUACUGCGGUGAAUACGUUCCCGGGUCUUGCACUCACCGCCCGUCA
rnacentral:rRNA from 1 species